AACGAACGCUGGCGGCAUGCCUAACACAUGCAAGUCGAACGAAGCCUUCGGGCUUAGUGGCGCAUGGGUGCGUAACGCGUGGGAAUCUGCCCUUGGGUUCGGAAUAACAGUUAGAAAUGACUGCUAAUACCGAAUGAUGUCUUCGGACCAAAGAUUUAUCGCCCAAGGAUGAGCCCGCGUCGGAUUAGCUAGUUGGUGAGGUAAAGGCUCACCAAGGCGACGAUCCGUAGCUGGUCUGAGAGGAUGAUCAGCCACACUGGGACUGAGACACGGCCCAGACUCCUACGGGAGGCAGCAGUGGGGAAUAUUGGACAAUGGGCGAAAGCCUGAUCCAGCAAUGCCGCGUGAGUGAUGAAGGCCUUAGGGUUGUAAAGCUCUUUUACCCGGGAUGAUAAUGACAGUACCGGGAGAAUAAGCCCCGGCUAAACUCCGUGCCAGCAGCCGCGGUAAU
rnacentral:rRNA from 1 species